rnacentral:rRNA from 1 species
UACGAAGGGGGCUAGCGUUGCUCGGAAUCACUGGGCGUAAAGGGUGCGUAGGCGGGUCUUUAAGUCAGGGGGGAAAUCCUGGAGCUCAACUCCAGAACUGCCUUUGAUACUGAGGAUCUUGAGUUCGGGAGAGGUGAGUGGAACUGCGAGUGUAGAGGUGAAAUUCGUAGAUAUUCGCAAGAACACCAGUGGCGAAGGCGGCAUCCUGGACCAUUACUGGCGCUGAGUGAGCGAAAGCCAGGGGAGCAAACGGG